ACUCCUACGGGAGGCAGCAGUGGGGAAUAUUGCACAAUGGGCGCAAGCCUGAUGCAGCAACGCCGCGUGAGGGACGACGGCCUUCGGGUUGUAAACCUCUUUUAGUAGGGAAGAAGCGAAAGUGACGGUACCUGCAGAAAAAGCACCGGCUAACUACGUGCCAGCAGCCGCGGUAAUACGUAGGGUGCAAGCGUUAUCCGGAAUUAUUGGGCGUAAAGAGCUCGUAGGCGGUUUGUCGCGUCUGCUGUGAAAACUGGAGGCUCAACCUCCAGCCUGCAGUGGGUACGGGCAGACUAGAGUGCGGUAGGGGAGAUUGGAAUUCCUGGUGUAGCGGUGGAAUGCGCAGAUAUCAGGAGGAACACCGAUGGCGAAGGCAGAUCUCUGGGCCGUAACUGACGCUGAGGAGCGAAAGCAUGGGGAGCGAACAGGAUUAGAUACCCUGGUAGUCCAUGCCGUAAACGUUGGGAACUAGAUGUAGGGUCCAUUCCACGGAUUCUGUGUCGCAGCUAACGCAUUAAGUUCCCCGCCUGGGGAGUACGGCCGCAAGGCUAAAACUCAAAGGAAUUGACGGGGGCCCGCACAAGCGGCGGAGCAUGCGGAUUAAUUCGAUGCAACGCGAAGAACCUUACCAAGGCUUGACAUAUACCGGAAAAGUGCAGAAAUGUACUCCCCGCAAGGUCGGUAUACAGGUGGUGCAUGGUUGUCGUCAGCUCGUGUCGUGAGAUGUUGGGUUAAGUCCCGCAACGAGCGCAACCCUCGUUCUAUGUUGCCAGCACGUAAUGGUGGGAACUCAUAGGAGACUGCCGGGGUCAACUCGGA
rnacentral:rRNA from 1 species